rfam:Schistosoma haematobium scaffold349_13, whole genome shotgun sequence.
GUCCAGCUGAUGUGUCCGAAAUAGGAUGGGACGUGCGUCCUGGAU